rnacentral:rRNA from 1 species
UGGGGAAUUUUGGACAAUGGGGGCAACCGUGAUCCAGCAAUGCCGCGUGUGUGAAGAAGGCCUUCGGGUUGUAAAGCACUUUUGUCCGGAAAGAAAACGUCGUGGUUAAUACCCGUGGCGGCUGACGGUACCGGAAGAAUAAGCACCGGCUAACUACGUGCCAGCAGCCGCGGUAAUACGUAGGGUGCAAGCGUUAAUCGGAAUUACUGGGCGUAAAGCGUGCGCAGGCGGUCCGCUAAGACAGAUGUGAAAUCCCCGGGCUUAACCUGGGAACUGCAUUUGUGACUGGCGGGCUAGAGUAUGGCAGAGGGGGGUAGAAUUCCACGUGUAGCAGUGAAAUGCGUAGAGAUGUGGAGGAAUACCGAUGGCGAAGGCAGCCCCCUGGGCCAAUACUGACGCUCAUGCACGAAAGCGUGGGGGAGCAAACAGGAUUCAGAUA